CUGAGGGAAUAGACAGGCUUCAUGGGGGCUCUUCUCUCCUUAGAACAAACCACACAACCUGACCUGCAACUGAUGCACUAGAGGUGAAAUGGGGACUGAAGUGAGGAAAAGAGGAGCCUGACACUGUCUCUCCUUCUUCCAAACUGGAGGGCUGCCUCUGAGACCCACAGUGAAGAUGCCACCAUGAUUCUACAGUGAUGAUGGAGUGCUGUGGAGAAGUUAAUGCAACCUAGCAGGAGAAUACUGGCCUCUGCCCAGUCUACCCGCAUCUCACUUGUGGGUCUGAGACCCAGAGAAGGAUUCUUUGUGGAGUCCAGGGAGAAGGAGACUUGACCUUGCAGCAGAUAUAUGGAUGACAUGUACAUGAUGAAAUCUGUGACUUGAUUGGCUGAAGAAGCUUCCAGCACGUGCAGUUAUCUUCCAAUAAAUCAAAG